rnacentral:rRNA from 1 species
UACAGAGGGUGCAAGCGUUGUUCGGAAUUAUUGGGCGUAAAGGGUGCGUAGGCGGUGCGGUAAGUCUCUUGUGAAAUCUCCAGGCUCAACCUGGAGCCUGCAAGGGAAACUGCCGUGCUGGAGUGUGGGAGAGGUGCGUGGAAUUCCUGGUGUAGCGGUGAAAUGCGUAGAUAUCAGGAGGAACACCUGUGGCGAAAGCGGCGCACUGGACCACAACUGACGCUGAGGCGCGAAAGCUAGGGGAGCAAACAGG